GCCAGGCGCGGUGGCACGUGCCUGUAGUCCCAGCUACUCAGGAGGCUGAGGUGGGAGGAUUGCUUGAGCCCAGGAGUUCUGGGCUGUAGUGCGCUAUGCCGAUCGGGUGUCCGCACUAAGUUCAGCAUCAAUAUGGUGACCUCCUGGGAGCGGGGGACCACCAGGUUGCCUAAGGAGGGGUGAACCGGCCCAGGUCAGAAACGGAGCAGGUCAAAACUCCCAUGCUGAUCAGUAGUGGGAUCGCGCCUGUGAAUAGCCACUGCACCCCAGCCUGGGCAGCACAGCGAGAUCCCAUCUCU
rnacentral:SRP_RNA from 1 species